rnacentral:tRNA from 4 species
GCCCAUGUGGCUCAGUGGCAGAGCACUCCCUUGGUAAGGGAGAGGUCGGCAGUUCGAUCCUGCCCAUGGGCA